GACGUAGGGUGCAAGCGUUGUCCGGAUUUACUGGGCGUAAAGAGCGCGUAGGCGGUCUUGUAAGUGUGAAGUGAAAUCUCCAGGGCUCAACCCGGAAACUGCUUUGCAUACUGCGAGACUUGAGGGAUGCAGAGGUUUGUGGAAUUCCUGGUGUAGCGGUGAAAUGCGUUGAUAUCAGGAGGAACACCCAUGGCGAAGGCAGCAAACUGGGCAUCAUCUGACGCUGAGGCGCGAAAGCGUGGGUAGCAAACGAGGGAAU
rnacentral:rRNA from 1 species